AUUCUAGAGCUAAUACAUGCUAAAAACCUCGACUUCGGAAGGGGUGUAUUUAUUAGAUAAAAAACCAAUGCCCUUCGGGGCUCCCUGGUGAUUCAUAAUAACUUAACGAAUCGCAUGGCCUUGCGCCGGCGAUGGUUCAUUCAAAUUUCUGCCCUAUCAACUUUCGAUGGUAGGAUAGUGGCCUACCAUGGUUUCAACGGGUAACGGGGAAUUAGGGUUCUAUUCCGGAGAGGGAGCCUGAGAAACGGCUACCACAUCCAAGGAAGGCAGCAGGCGCGCAAAUUACCCAAUCCCGACACGGGGAGGUAGUGACAAUAAAUACUGAUACAGGGCUCUUUCGAGUCUUGUAAUUGGAAUGAGUACAAUUUAAAUCCCUUAACGAGGAACAAUUGGAGGGCAAGUCUGGUGCCAGCAGCCGCGGUAAUUCCAGCUCCAAUAGCGUAUAUUAAAGUUGUUGCAGUUAAAAAGCUCGUAGUUGAACCUUGGGCCUGGCUGGCCGGUCCGCCUCACCGCGUGCACUGGUCCGGCCGGGCCUUUCCUUCUGGGGAGCCUCAUGCCCUUCACUGGGUGUGUUGGGGAACCAGGACUUUUACUUUGAAAAAAUUAGAGUGUUCAAAGCAGGCCUAUGCUCGAAUACAUUAGCAUGGAAUAAUAGAAUAGGACGUGUGGUUCUAUUUUGUUGGUUUCUAGGACCGCCGUAAUGAUUAAUAGGGAUAGUCGGGGGCAUCAGUAUUCAAUUGUCAGAGGUGAAAUUCUUGGAUUUAUUGAAGACUAACUACUGCGAAAGCAUUUGCCAAGGAUGUUUUCAUUAAUCAGUGAACGAAAGUUAGGGGAUCGAAGACGAUUAUUUGGUCGUUGAAAGCGGAUGCUAGCCUGAUUUUAUCAGGCGAUACCAUCAAAUUACGGGGACUCCCUAAAGCCUCAAUCACCAAACCGGCAUUGAAAGGUGCCGGUGGCCAGGUUAACUCCCUGGGUAUGGUAAAAGUAUUGAGGAUGUGACAAUGGGUAAUCCGUAGCCAAGCUCUAAGGUGGUUCGCCGCUACGAGUACAGUUCACAGACUAGAUGUUGGUGGGAGGCGUGACAAAACACCCUUCUAAGA
rnacentral:rRNA from 1 species